GGAUUUAUCCCAGUUAACCAAGGUUAGCGGUCGUUUCGAUCUUUCGAAAGAAUGUGUCGAAAAUAAAAAAUUUUGGAUAAGCUUCUUCGGGGUUUCCGGGGAGCGAAA
rnacentral:sRNA from 1 species